rnacentral:rRNA from 1 species
GACGAACGCUGGCGGCGUGCUUAACACAUGCAAGUCGAACGAAGUGGCGAACGGGUGAGUCACGCGUAAUCAACCUGCCCUUCAAAGGGGGACAACAGUUGGAAACGACUGCUAAUACCGCAUACUGAAGGAGGGGAUUGAGUCUGAUUAGCUAGUAGGAGGGGUGACGGCCACACAAGGCGAUGAUCAGUAGCCGGUCUGAGAGGAUGAACGGGCACAUUGGGACUGGGACACGGCCCAGACUCCUACGGGAGGCAGCAGUGGGGAAUCUUCCGCAAUGGACGAAAGUCUGACGGAGCAACGCCGCGUGAGUGAUGACGGCCUUCGGGUUGUAAAGCUCUGUUAAUCGGGACGCGGUACCGGAAUAGAAAGCCACGGCUAACUACGUGCCAGCAGCCGCGGUAAUAC